AAGAUGCCACAGUCAAAAUGCAUUACAUAUGGCAGUCAAAUGCCUUUGCAGCUGUUGCCAUUGCAUGUGGAGGAAUGCAAUGGCACAUUGACUGAGAGUGAAUCUGGGACAUGUCUUGAUGAAGAUUGUUCAGUUCUUGAGCAGCCAGUCCCAUCUACCAUAGGCAUGGAUGAAUCCUUGGCGGUCUGCCCAAUCUGUUUUGCAUCGUACCCAGCUGAUGUUCUCCCAUCUCAUGCAAGCACAUGUGGUGACAG